GAGUUUGAUCCUGGCUCAGGACGAACGCUGGCGGCGUGUAUUAGACAUGCAAGUCGAACGAGAAUGUCCCGACUUGUCGGGACUAGUAGAGUGGCGAACGGGUGAGUAACACGUGGAUAACCUACCCUCCAGUUUGGGAUAACAUUUCUAACGAAGUGCUAAUACCGAAUAAUACAGCGAACUCGCAUGAGUAUGUUGUUAAAGAUGGCCUCUACAUGUAAGCUAUCGCUUGAGGAUGGGUCCGCGUCCUAUUAGCUUGUUGGUAGGGUAAUGGCCUACCAAGGCGUCGAUGGGUAGCCGGCUUGAGAGGGUGACCGGCCACACUGGGAUUGAGAUACGGCCCAGACUCCUACGGGAGGCAGCAGUUUGGAAUAUUGCGCAAUGGGCGAAAGCCUGACGCAGCGACGCCGCGUGGGUGAUGAAGCUUCUUGGAGUGUAAAACCCAGUCAGGAGGGAAGAAUUGCGAUCGAGCUAAUAACUGGAUCGUUUGACGGUACCUCCAGAGGAAGCUCCGGCUAACUCCGUGCCAGCAGCCGCGGUAAUACGGGGGGAGCGAGCGUUGUUCGGAAUUACUGGGCGUAAAGGGCGUGUAGGCGGGUCUGUAAGUCAGAUGUGAAAAUCCCGAGCUCAACUCGGGACCUGCAUUUGAAACUGCAGAUCUUGAGUACAGAAGAGGAGAGUGGAAUUCCAGGUGUAGCGGUGAAAUGCGUAGAUAUCUGGGAGAACACCGGUGGCGAAGGCGGCUCUCUGGUCUGAUACUGACGCUGAGGCGCGAAAGCUAGGGGAGCAAACAGGAUUAGAUACCCUGGUAGUCCUAGCCGUAAACGAUGGACACUAGGUGUUGGAGGUAUCGACCCCUUCAGUGCCGGAGCUAACGCAUUAAGUGUCCCGCCUGGGGAGUACGGCCGCAAGGCUGAAACUCAAAGGAAUUGACGGGGGCCCGCACAAGCGGUGGAGCAUGUGGUUCAAUUCGAUGCAACGCGAAGAACCUUACCGGGGUUUGACAUCCCGAUGAAAGUUCCAGAAACGGAAUCCCCCAGCAAUGGGCAUCGGGACAGGUGCUGCAUGGCUGUCGUCAGCUCGUGUCGUGAGAUGUUGGGUUAAGUCCCGCAACGAGCGCAACCCCUGCCCUUAGUUGCCAUCAGGUUAUGCUGGGCACUCUAGGGGGACUGCCUCGGAUAACGGGGAGGAAGGUGGGGAUGACGUCAAGUCCUCAUGGCCCUUACAUCCCGGGCUACACACGUGCUACAAUGGCCGGUACAGAGGGUUGCAAUACCGUGAGGUGGAGCCAAUCCCAGAAAGCCGGUCUCAGUUCGGAUUGGAGUCUGCAACUCGACUUCAUGAAGUUGGAAUCGCUAGUAAUCGCGGAUCAGCAUGCCGCGGUGAAUACGUUCCCGGGCCUUGCACAC
rnacentral:rRNA from 1 species